rnacentral:rRNA from 1 species
GACGAACGCUGGCGGCGUGCUUAACACAUGCAAGUCGAACGGUGAAGCGCCUUCCUUUUUGGUGGGUGUGGAUGAGUGGCGAACGGGUGAGUAACACGUGAGUAACCUGCCCCCUUCUUCUGGAUAACCGCAUGAAAGUGUGGCUAAUACGGGAUAUUCUGGGUCUGUCGCAUGAUGGGUCUGGGAAAGAUAUUGUUUCGGUGGGGGAUGGGCUCGCGGCCUAUCAGCUUGUUGGUGGGGUGAUGGCCUACCAAGGCGGUGACGGGUAGCCGGCCUGAGAGGGUGGAUGGUCACACUGGGACUGAGACACGGCCCAGACUCCUACGGGAGGCAGCAGUGGGGAAUAUUGCACAAUGGGCGCAAGCCUGAUGCAGCGACGCCGCGGGAGGGAUGGAGGCCUGCGGGUUGUGAACCUCUUUCGCCAGUGAAGCAGGCCUGCCUCGUUUGUGGGUGGGUUGACGGUAGCUGGAUAAGAAGCGCCGGCUAACUACGUG